rnacentral:rRNA from 1 species
UACGUAGGGUGCAAGCGUUAAUCGGAAUUACUGGGCGUAAAGCGUGCGCAGGCGGUUAUGUAAGACAGUUGUGAAAUCCCCGGGCUCAACCUGGGAACUGCAUCUGUGACUGCAUAGCUAGAGUACGGUAGAGGGGGAUGGAAUUCCGCGUGUAGCAGUGAAAUGCGUAGAGAUGUGGAGGAACACCGAUGGCGAAGGCAGCCCCCUGGGUCAACACUGACGCUCAGGCACGAAAGCGUGGGGAGCAAACAGG